CACAAACUGGAGCAUCAAGGCAGCAUGUCCCAACACAAGAGUCUCAAAGUCAAAGUCAGGGAGGAAGUUCCUCAACACCAAGGCAACAUGUCCCAAACAAGGGUCUCAAGCUUAUGUGCCUAUGCAUGAAAGAGGUAUUGGUGUAUACACCUACCCAAAUGGAUUUCAGAGAGAGUCAUGGCAAACUGGAAACAAAAAGAAGCCUAAUUCUGAAGCAACUACUACAACUGAAACCAUUACAAGACUAUGAAGAGUUGAAGUACUAGCA